UGUAGAGUGUCCAGCUGCUUGUAAGCAUAAAAAUUAACUGGAAUGUUUGUCUACCAGCCCACUUCAGAGAGCAGUGAGGGGACACAGGGAACAACCUAAAGCAAGAACUGGACCUGGUGCUACAUUUUGCUUGUGGUAUCUUCAAAACAUAAACAGCUGUUGGAGAAUUCUGCCUUUCAUACAGAUCAGAAGAAAGAGAUCUUGGAAAGGAAAGAAGAGGCCACCACCUUGAUGCUGUCCCUUGGUCAAAGUCUUCUGGACUUACUGGAGUCUCCCCAGCUGCCCAGCACCUCCUCUGUCUCCCCUGCUAUUAGAUCACUAAGCCUUAGCAUUUUCUCCAAGGAGACCUCUACCGGCUUCUUUUCAAGUGUUUGAUGGAUAAAAGUCAUGGAGGCUAAGAGCAACUGUUCCUGCCAACAUCUUAGGGCAUUUAGAAAUAUCCCUCCUGAGUGUAACUGGUUGGAGUAACGGCCAAGCCUUCUAAAGAAAAUGUUCUUUCCAGAGCGGAUGCCUGAGACCGCUACAGAAGAUAACAAGGACUGCUGCUUCAAAUGCUCCCUGUCAUCUCUCGUGUAGAAGAAACUGAUCAGCUGGCAUGGGUGCAUGCAAAACAACUGGUGAGGACAGUCUAGUGUGCUUCUGUGACAGACCGCUAGCCCUUAGGCCCGAGCCGGCCGUGUGUACAGCUGGACAUGAGGACCGUAGCCCCAAGCAGAGAUGGAAUCACAUGCAUGCUAUAGUUUCAUGGACUCUCGGCCCAGCCAGCACACCUACAAACACUUUUCACUAUCGCUAUUGGCAAUCCUGUCCUAGAAGUCCAUUUCCACAUUUCUUCCUUCAACUGACUUCUCAAUAUUUGGGAUGAU